rnacentral:rRNA from 1 species
UUUAAAUGAGAGUUUGAUCCUGGCUCAGGACGAACGCUGGCGGCGUGCCUAACACAUGCAAGUCGAGCGAAGUGCUU